UCCCUUGUGGCUAAGCCGGUAAAGAAUCCGCCUGCAAUGCGGGAGACCUGGGUUUGAUCCCUGGGUUGGGAA
rnacentral:tRNA from 1 species